UGGGGAAUAUUGCACAAUGGGCGCAAGCCUGAUGCAGCCAUGCCGCGUGUGUGAAGAAGGCCUUCGGGUUGUAAAGCACUUUCAGCGGGGUGGAAGGCGAUAAGGUUAAUAACCUUGUCGAUUGACGUUACCCGCAGAAGAAGCACCGGCUACCUCCGUGCCAGCAGCCGCGGUAAUACGGAGGGUGCAAGCGUUAAUCGGAAUUACUGGGCGUAAAGCGCACGCAGGCGGUCUGUCAAGUCGGAUGUGAAAUCCCCGGGCUCAACCUGGGAACUGCAUUCGAAACUGGCAGGCUAGAGUCUUGUAGAGGGGGGUAGAAUUCCAGGUGUAGCGGUGAAAUGCGUAGAGAUCUGGAGGAAUACCGGGGGCGAAGGCGGCCCCCUGGACAAAGACUGACGCUCAGGUGCGAAAGCGUGGGGAGCAAACAGG
rnacentral:rRNA from 1 species